UGUGACCUCAAAUCAGGUAGGACUACCCGCUGAACUUAAGCAUAUCAAUAAGCGGAGGAAAAGAAACUAACAAGGAUUCCCCUAGUAACUGCGAGUGAAGCGGGAAAAGCUCAAAUUUAAAAU
rnacentral:rRNA from 1 species